CAGGUAGGGGUCCCCGAGCCUGCGCCCACCCAAUCCUCAAGCCUCCGGGGACCUCGCGAGAAAAGGAAAUCGGGAAUCACCGGCCGGCGCAGGAGUGACUGUCCUGUUACAGAAAAACCAAAAAGGGCCCUACGGAAAUGCAGGACGGUGGGAAAAUCGUAUGCUCGCCAGACUCAACCAUGGUUCCUUCUUUUGGAAAAAGACCGCCGUUCCAGCUUCUUCUAGUACAGCGUGUUCUGCAGGCACCCUUAACAAUGUCUAGAGCUUGCCAGGCUGGACUGUGUUUCAUCAGGAUAAGGGUGUGGGAGCAGUUUAAACACCAACUCUGCCCAAUCAGCAAGGCCCAGAAGAAAGGAGGGACGCUGAUGCUGUGACCUGACCGUGUCCUAUUACUGAAGUUAUCCAAAAUGUCAAGAAGACCUCACAGAUUCCUGAGGAUGGCAAGCGCUGCCGGCCAAGCUAUUCCUUCCAUUGCUGAUGCUGUCUGUGGGCCACUCUGGGACUCUCUCAUAACUGAACAUUUUAUAAGACAGUGACUGGACUAUUACUACAGACUGUUCUCUUGCUGAAAGAUCAAGAUUUUUGAUUUAUCAAUUAAUGCUAAAAUGUGAUUGGAAUAUAACUCAUUUCUGUGUAACCCCUUACCUAUAUAAUGUAACCUUACUUAAUUGGGAUUUGAUUAGAAAACGUUUGCAAGGGUUUAAGGGAAACAUUUCAUUAGAUAUUGAUUUAGCUAAAAAAAGGAUAUUUUCUAUAUGUUCAGAGAUAGGCUCAAGCCUUCCACUGGCUCUGAGGUAAUUAAGCAAAUGGUGGAUGGCCUAGAAGGAGGCUAGUUCCCGUGUGCUUGGGGGAAAAGCAUUUCUCAUAGCUUAAGUUCCAGUCUGACUGUGCUGUGCAUCACAAUUUUGAUGCUUGCAGUCUCAUGCUGCUUUUAUAGGAAGCUGAGAUAUGAAAAGAGACCAUGUUGCCUCUAUGACACUAUUAAAUCUUAAACAUAAUACAGAAAUGGG